CCGGUUGGAAGUGCAGAGCUCUGACCUGAACUGCACAUUGUGGAUGUUGUCUGAUCUCAGUAGCAACACUGACAGCGUUCUCAGACACUCACAUUUCUGUAGGCAAAGGGAAACUCUUUCUCCAGUGUUUCCUCUGAAGACACUAAGCUGCAUCGAUGUUUUCUCUUCUUCUUUCCCAUUAUCCAGCAGGUUACCCUCAACCUCCUCCCAAGAAAGGAGACUGAAUGGAGCACAGAGUUGACCACGUCAGACUCACCUGCGGGUCCUUCAGUUACUAGCUCUGCUCUGUAGUGACUCUCCCUAGAAGGCUGGCAGGGGGCAGGUGCCAUGAGCUGCCUCUGUCUGGGAGAGUUUGUGCGGAGGUCGUGUGGAGCUCAUGUGGAGAUGGAGGGCCACCAAAGGACCCUGAGAUAGACAGUGUGACUAGAGAGGAGGAGGAGGAAAAAGAGGAACAUUUACAAUUCUGGAAGCCAAGAGUUGAGAGUAUUUUGGAAAGAGGAAGGGGUCGAAUAUUUUGAACACCCACGAAAGGUUAAAGAAGUUUAAGAUCUAGAAGUAUCCAUUGAAUUGGGGAACAUGGAACUCAAUGUUGACUUGUCAAGACUGGAUUAGGAAAAUGUGGCACAUAUACACCAUGGAAUACUA
rnacentral:lncRNA from 10 species